ensembl:snRNA U2 U2 spliceosomal RNA
AUCGCUUCUCGGCCUUUUGGCUAAGAUCAAGUGUAGUAUCUGUUCUUGUGAGUUUAAUAUCUGAUACGUUCUUGAUCCGAGGACAAUCUAUUAAAUGGACUUUUGGAAUUAGGAGAUGGAAAAGGAGCCUGCUCCGUCCACUCCACACAUCGACCUGGGAUCGCAGUACUUCUAGGAAUGGUGCGCCCCUU